rnacentral:lncRNA from 1 species
CGGAUGCUGGGAAGAACUGGGAGUUGAUCCCUUGAACCGCGGAUGAUUCGGGAGGAUAUGGCGCAUGAAACAGGGGAGCUGGAACGUAUGGAUGAAGGAAGUUUGGAAGAGAUGAAGCUGGGACGGCUGGCAGCUGGGAAGAAAUCUGGGAAAUUCAGAAGCAGGGGAGAAAGUUUGAUCCGAAGAUCAUGGGAUCUAGCUUCGGAAUGAACACCUAAACCUUAUCCUAGGGAUGAUAGGAUCAAUCCGGAAUGAGAAGAAGCUCGGGAAUGGCUGGGUUCGGCUGGUAACAGAGGAUUUAGAGCUGUGAGCGGCUUGAAUGCUCAUCCUUGGAGCUCAGGGAUGUUUCCGUUGGCUGGACGGGAUCCGUGGAUGUGGAGAUCGUGGGAUCCAUGGAUGCCUAGGCUUUAUCCCGUGGGUGAUGGAGGGUUAUCACAAACGGACGUGAAUAUGGCUUACGGGAUGAAGAUGAAUUGGAGGAGAUGGGAUGCUGUUUUGAGAAGAUGAGAGGAUAACUCCGUUCUGCCCGUGGAUGAUGGAGUUCAUUCGGAGUAGAGAAUCGUGGGAGGCAAUCGAGAAUGGAGGAGCGAUGCAAGAUGCUGCGUUUGAGAGGAUCUC